rnacentral:rRNA from 1 species
AGAGUUUGAUCCUGGCUCAGGAUGAACGCUGGCGGCGUGCUUAACACAUGCAAGUCGAACGAAGCACCUUGAUUUGAUUCUUCGGAUGAAGAUCUUGGUGACUGAGUGGCGGACGGGUGAGUAACGCGUGGGUAACCUGCCUCAUACAGGGGGAUAACAGUUAGAAAUGACUGCUAAUACCGCAUAAGACCACAGCACCGCAUGGUGCAGGGGUAAAAACUCCGGUGGUAUGAGAUGGACCCGCGUCUGAUUAGGUAGUUGGUGGGGUAACGGCCUACCAAGCCGACGAUCAGUAGCCGACCUGAGAGGGUGACCGGCCACAUUGGGACUGAGACACGGCCCAAACUCCUACGGGAGGCAGCAGUGGGGAAUAUUGCACAAUGGGGGAAACCCUGAUGCAGCGACGCCGCGUGAGCGAUGAAGUAUUUCGGUAUGUAAAGCUCUAUCAGCAGGGAAGAAAAUGACGGUACCUGACUAAGAAGCACCGGCUAAAUACGUGCCAGCAGCCGCGGU